rnacentral:rRNA from 1 species
ACGAACGCUGGCGGCGUGCUUAACACAUGCAAGUCGCACGGAAAGGCCCUGCUUUUGUGGGGUGCUCGAGUGGCGAACGGGUGAGUAACACGUGAGUAACCUGCCCUUGACUUUGGGAUAACUUCAGGAAACUGGGGCUAAUACCGGCUAGGAGCUCCUGCUGCAUGGUGGGGGUUGGAAAGUUUCGGCGGUUGGGGAUGGACUCGCGGCUUAUCAGCUCGUUGGUGGGGUAGUGGCUUACCAAGGCUUUGACGGGUAGCCGGCCUGAGAGGGUGACCGGCCACAUUGGGACUGAGAUACGGCCCAGACUCCUACGGGAGGCAGCAGUGGGGAAUAUUGCACAAUGGGCGGAAGCCUGAUGCAGCAACGCCGCGUGCGUGAUGACGGCCUUCGGGUUGUAAACCGCUUUCGCCUGUGACGAAGCGUGAGUGACGGUAAUGGGUAAAGAAGCACCGGCUAACUACGUG